CUAAUAAUGAGCAAUGCAUCACCUAUCUCAAAAGAAGCUCCCCAAACCCUCGGAUUUAUUAGGACUAACUGGCCGGUCUCUUACUCUCCAGACAAAUUUCUACUUUUUCUCUCUCAAGUUGUAAAACAACUAUUUCUAAUGAUGGAUUAAAAACCUGAAGCUGCUAUUCCAUUAUGAACCUCUAUCUAGUAGCUACCGCAAACUGCUCAGCUUCUUUGUCUGAAACCUCCAGGAGGGCUCUGACAAACCAGAAGUCAGGGGGGAGUUCACAUCAAAUCACCUUCAGAAGCUGUCAACAGUCCCAGAGAACUACCUUAGUGGAUGGAAAGAAGGAUGCGGAAAAAGGAGAGAUGAUGCAGCCUUGCUUUACGUUUGCAAAUUGGAUAAAUAAG
rnacentral:lncRNA from 1 species